UACGGAGGGGGCUAGCGUUGUUCGGAAUUACUGGGCGUAAAGCGCACGUAGGCGGCUUUGUAAGUUAGAGGUGAAAGCCUGGGGCUCAACUCCAGAACUGCCUUUAAGACUGCAUCGCUUGAACACGGGAGAGGUGAGUGGAAUUCCGAGUGUAGAGGUGAAAUUCGUAGAUAUUCGGAAGAACACCAGUGGCGAAUGCGGCUCACUGGCUCAUACUGGACGCUGAGGUGCGAAAGCGUGGGGAGCAAACAGG
rnacentral:rRNA from 1 species